CAUGCUAAUAGCAGCUAGUAUAGAUCACGCACAAUAGUGAAGUGAUAGUUGAAGGUCGAAUGCAGAAUAAGGUAGUAGAGAGGAUACGUGUAGAUCAAGAGUAUACUGAAGUAUCUCUUGAGUUGACGAAUCUCAGUCAUGUAGCUACGAGACAGAUUUAUAUGUUAUAAGGUGUUAGGGGUAUAGAAGAGAAUAUGAAUCAUAUGUUGUUAAUGUGCUNGUGAGGUUGUAAAUGUGUAGGGGGUAGAAGAAAGUAUGUUUGGCAUAUAAAAUUCUAAUAUGAAAAGAUAAGUGAUUAUAAGGGUAUAGUAGUAAGAAUUAAUUUGUAUGAAUUAUAGUUAAAUUAAAGAUAAGAGCAGAAUAGAAGGAGAUAGAAGCUGGUGAAAUAAUAGGAGGUAGAGAGAUAAGAAUGAGAAGGAAUUCAUUAGUGAAGUUAAAUAAGGAAUAUCAAGGUUAAAAUUGGAUGGAUAAAUUAGGUGUUAGGUAUGUAGAUGAUAAGGUAGAAUCUAGAUAUGUAGUAGUUUAUAGAGGAAAGAGAAGCGUGUAUAGUAGUUUAUAUUGGUUUAGCUAUGAAAUAGAGAUAUAUGAUAACAAAAUGAGUGAUGAAAAAUGAGACUUGUGUGGGGGAUUGUGGAGAGGGGAGUGGAAUUUUAUUGGAACGUACUUAUAACAAAUGUAAAUAAGGGAGAUAGAUGAAUUCCAUCAGAUUAAUUGAUAAUGGUUGGAGAUCAUCAGGGUAAUACAUUACAAGGUUCCGGAGGUAAGGCCUAAAAAACAUAUUAGUGGAAGGGGAAUUGAGUAGGCGCCGACUUGGGCAUACAAAGAAGCGGGUGACGAAGCACCCAAUUCUUCUAGAGAAACCGGACAGUGGUGCACGUCAGCUGCCAAUAUGUGCACCGUCCCCCAGGUAAAGUGGGGGGAGUGGGGGCCACAAUCACACAAGUCAAUGAGGGAGGGGCAGUCAAUGACUGUUCGGACAGGACAUGCACUCAAGGAAUACCAGAAUGGCGCAAUGUGACUAGGAUAGAUAACGAGUAGAUAAUAUCUAACGAUAGAGUAUGCAAGUAUACAUUAGUGAUGGCUGGAUAUGAUGAGUUAAUCUUAUAGAUGCAAAGAGUAGUACGAAUGAGAUACACCUCAUAGAAAGUAUAUAGCUAAGCAGUGAACGAAGUCGAUCAAGGAGAGAAUACACUGUCAAGACAAGGGUUCAGAGGGGGGAUAUAAUACGAGCGAGAGCUCAAUGGGCAGUAAGCCCCCAGUAGUGUAGAGUAGGUAGGAAAUCUGAAAGACAACAUGAUAGGUUAAAGUAAUACUGAGAAGGGAAAAGAGGCUCUUAAGAUCGAGAGAACAGCGAAAGUAUAUUAAGAAGAGAUAAACAAAGUAGAUAAGAAAGAUACAUAGAUAAAGAAUAAAAGAUACACAUAAAAAGUCGAAUAAUAAAAUAAACAGUAAAAAGGAUAAGAUGGUUUAGUGAUUUAAUGUCAAGAUUGAAUGUAAUUAUGUAAAAUAAAAAUAAAAAGAAUAUAAAUAGAAGGAAAUUUAAGAAAUAAGAUGAAAUGAUAAGAAUAAAAAUAAUUAAAAUAAAAAUUAAGUAACAGAUAAAUCAAUUAGCCGAUAAUACAACUAAUGCUGAUAUUAGAUAAGGUAUAAAAAAUUAAUUGAAAGAAAAAAAAAGUAGGAACUUCAGUGGGUGAACAUGCGGAAGGAUCAUUAAAGAGUGAGGGCCCCUCGGGGUCCAACUUCCCACCCGUGUUUAACGAACAUUUGAUGCUUUGACGGGCCCGCCUCAAGGCCGCCGGGGGGCUCCUGCCCCCGGGCCCGCGCCCGCCGAAGCCCCCCAAUGAACGCUGUUAGAAGUUUGCAGUCAGAGAAACUAGAUAAAUUAGUUAAAACUUUCAACAAACGGAUCUCUUGGUUCCGGCAUCGAUGAAGAACGCAGCGAAAUGCGAUAACUUAUGUGAAUUGCAGAAUUCAGUGAAUCAUCGAGUCUUUGAUCGCUCAUUGCGCCCUCUGGUAUUCCGGAGGGCAUACCUGUCCGAGCGUCAUUGCUGCCCUCAAGCACGGCUUGUGUGUUGGGCCCCCGUCCCCCCCUAUGCCGGAGGGACGGGCCAAAAUGGCAAGCGGAGGCAACGCGUCCGAUCAUAGAAGAGUAUGGACAUCGUCACCCGCUCUUGAGAAACCGUCCGGCGCCAACAGACAAAACCUUAUAUUGGUUCAGGAAACAAUAGAAAGUCAAUAUAAGUAAAAAACAAUAAAGAAAGCAAUGUAAAAAUCAUUUUAAAGAUAAUUCAUGAAAUUUAGAAU
rnacentral:rRNA from 1 species